GAUGAACGCUGGCGGCGUGCCUAAUACAUGCAAGUCGAGCGAACUGAUUAGAAGCUUGCUUCUAUGACGUUAGCGGCGGACGGGUGAGUAACACGUGGGCAACCUGCCUGUAAGACUGGGAUAACUUCGGGAAACCGAAGCUAAUACCGGAUAGGAUCUUCUCCUUCAUGGGAGAUGAUUGAAAGAUGGUUUCGGCUAUCACUUACAGAUGGGCCCGCGGUGCAUUAGCUAGUUGGUGAGGUAACGGCUCACCAAGGCAACGAUGCAUAGCCGACCUGAGAAGGGGAUCGGCCACACUGGGACUGAGACACGGCCCAGACUCCUACGGGAGGCAGCAGUAGGGAAUCUUCCGAAAUGGACGAAAGUCUGACGGAGCAACGCCGCGUGAGUGAUGAAGGCUUUCGGGUCGUAAAACUCUGUUGUUAGGGAAGAACAAGUACGAGAGUAACUGCUCGUACCUUGACGGUACCUAACCAGAAAGCCACGGCUAACUACGUGCCAGCAGCCGCCGUAA
rnacentral:rRNA from 1 species